AAACUGUGGGGACACAGGCAGAGAGCGUGAGCCGGGAAUGGAAAGACCGGUACAAGCGAGGUAGGAGAAGAGUUGGCAAAUCCGCUCUUUAAUCUGAAGACGUGAUGUGGACUGAAAAUAAGUAGGGAAGCACGUGAGCUGACUGUCAAGAAAAGCCGCUAUUGUUUGCAGGAUACCCGUACCGUAAACCGACACAGGUGGAUGAGGAGAGAAUCCUAAGGCCGACGGGAGAAGCAUUGUUAAGGAACUCGGCAAAAUGACUCCGUAACUUCGGGAGAAGGAGUGCCAGUAAGAUGGCCGCAGAGAAUUGGCCCAAGCAACUGUUUAGCAAAAACACAGGUCUAUGCAAAACCGAAAGGUGAGGUAUAUGGGCUGACGCCUGCCCGGUGCUGGAAGGUUAAGGGGAGAGGUUAGCGCAAGCGAAGCUUUGAACUUAAGCCCCAGUAAACGGCGGCCGUAACGAUAACGGUCCUAAGGUAGCGAAAUUCCUUGUCGGGUAAGUUCCGACCCGCACGAAAGGCGUAAUGAUUUGGGCACUGUCUCAACAAUGCACCCGGUGAAAUUGAAAUACCAGUGAAGAUGCUGGUUACCUGCGCCAGGACGGAAAGACCCCAUGGAGCUUUACUCCAGCUUGAUACUGGGAUUCGGUAUUGCAUGUACAGGAUAGGUGGGAGGCUAGGAAAUGGUAACGCCAGUUGCCAUGGAGCCAAUGUUGGGAUACCACCCUUGCAGUACUGGGUUUCUAACCAGCAGCCGUGAUCCGGCUGGGGGACAAUGUCAGGUGGGGAGUUUGACUGGGGCGGUCGCCUCCGAAAGGGUAUCGGAGGCGCUCAAAGGUUCCCUCAGAAUGGUUGGAAACCAUUCGAAGAGUGCAAAGGCAGAAGGGAGCUUGACUGCGACACCGACGGGUGGAGCAGGUACGAAAGUAGGACUUAGUGAUCCGGUGGUAUAAAGUGGGAUUGCCAUCGCUCAACGGAUAAAAGCUACCCUGGGAUAACAGGCUUAUCACUCCCAAGAGUUCACAUCGACGGAGUGGUUUGGCACCUCGAUGUCGGCUCAUCGCAUCCUGGGGCUGAAGUAGGUCCCAAGGGUUGGGCUGUUCGCCCAUUAAAGCGGUACGCGAGCUGGGUUCAGAACGUCGUGAGACAGUUCGGUCCCUAUCCGGCGUGGGCGUAAGAUAUUUGAGAGGAGCUGUCCUUAGUACGAGAGGACCGGGAUGGACUGGCCGCUGGUGUAUCUGUUGUCUUACCAAAGGCAUAGCAGAGUAGCCAAGCCGGGAAGGGAUAAACGCUGAAGGCAUCUAAGCGUGAAGCCCCCCUCAAGAUGAGAUAUCUCAUAACGUCAAGUUAGUAAGACCCCUUGAAGACGACGAGGUAGAUAGGGCAGAGGUGGAAGUGUGGUAACACAUGGAGCUGACUGUUACUAAUAGGUCGAGGGCAUAACCU
rnacentral:rRNA from 1 species